UACGGAGGGUGCAAGCGUUAAUCGGAAUUACUGGGCGUAAAGCGCACGCAGGCGGCUGUGUAAGUUAGAUGUGAAAGCCCCGGGCUCAACCUGGGAAUUGCAUUUGAAACUGCUUCGCUAGAGGAUUGUAGAGGGGGGUAGAAUUCCGAGUGUAGCGGUGAAAUGCGUAGAGAUCUGGAGGAAUACCAGUGGCGAAGGCGGCCCCCUGGACAAAUACUGACGCUCAGGUGCGAAAGCGUGGGGAGCAAACAGG
rnacentral:rRNA from 1 species